rnacentral:rRNA from 1 species
GGAAUCUUCGGCAAUGGACGAAAGUCUGACCGAGCAACGCCGCGUGAGUGAAGAAGGUUUUCGGAUCGUAAAACUCUGUUGGUAGAGAAGAACGUUGGUGAGAGUGGAAAGCUCAUCAAGUGACGGUAACUACCCAGAAAGCCACGGCUAACUACGUGCCAG